ACCUGCAAAGAAGGAAAACAAUAAGCUGCGGCAACUGAUGGCAGCUUCAGGGCAAGAUUUUUUGGGGAACGCGUGCCUUCAGCUGCCUGCUGCCAGGUUAUCCUCUACCUCCUCUUUUAACUGUGUCUAAAGGAUGCUGGUUUAAAAUCUCUCAGCUGAUCUGCUUAGAUGAGAAGUGGAUAACAGUAUAUUGAUAUACUGUUCCUAGAAACUGAGCCUCAACGUUAUGAAUAGAAAGAAACCAUAAUUAGAGUCUACGCAUGUGUAAUCAAGCCGAAGGUGUAACCGAUGUUGUGACUGCUAUCAACCCCAGUAAGGUUUGUAUGGUUAAGGUUGACUGAAACCUGCAGCGACUGAAUAAAGUCACCAGUCCCUGUAUUCUAACUGCUCUUUCUCUAAGUAAGAACCCUCUGUUUCUAGUGCUGUCCAAAAUAGCUCUAAUAAAUUGCGCUCUUUGAGAAGGUAUAAGUACUGAUUUUUUUUAAAUUAACAAUUAGUCCUAGAAGGUUGCACAUGUUGACAACCAUAUUUACAUGUCUCUGUAAUACCCACUUGACUGGGCCAAAUCAGCCAAUCGUCAAGGUAAGAAGGAAAGAUGGAGCAGACUUGCCUUCUCACGAAAGCCACUACCAUCACCAUACAUUUAUUGAAUACAUGAGGGGCUGUAGAAAGACCAAAAGGUAGUACCUGGUAUUGAAAAAUUUUGUCCUUACAUAUGAAAUGUAAAAGCCUUCUAUGGGUUGGGUAUAUGGUUAUAUGAAAAUACUAGCAACAAAGCCCAUUGUGGAGGAAAAUACAACGGGCUCUAGAAAGGGG